rnacentral:rRNA from 1 species
UACGUAGGUGGCGAGCGUUGUCCGGAAUUAUUGGGCGUAAAGAGCAUGUAGGCGGUUUUUUAAGUCUGGAGUGAAAAUGCGGGGCUCAACCCCGUAUGGCUCUGGAUACUGGAAGACUUGAGUGCAGGAGAGGAAAGGGGAAUUCCCAGUGUAGCGGUGAAAUGCGUAGAUAUUGGGAGGAACACCAGUGGCGAAGGCGCCUUUCUGGACUGUGUCUGACGCUGAGAUGCGAAAGUCAGGGUAGCGAACGGG